CAGCCGGCGAGCGAGGGAAGCCAGUUGUUAUCUUUGGUUAUCUAGCUGUAUGAGUGUAUUGGCCUUCAUAAAGCUAGAUAACCGAAAGUAAGAACUGCUUCAAGGUCGCCGCGAGCGGG
rnacentral:precursor_RNA from 14 species